GCACCGACCCCGUCAUCCCCCCCGCGGCCCAAAUCGCACCGAGAACCCGCGUGCUCUCGCCGCCUCCUCCUCCCUCCCCCCGCGGCGUCGCCGAACGAAACCCUAGCUCGGUCGCGCCCGCCCGCGCCGUCGUCUCGCCGGAGAGCGGAGAGGGCGGAGAGGGAGAGGGAGCGGGAGGCGGGGAUGGGGAAGAAGAAGAAGCGGGUGGAGAAGGUGUUCUGCUACUACUGCGACCGGGAGUUCGACGACGAGAAGAUCCUGGUGCAGCACCAGAAGGCCAAGCACUUCAAGUGCCACGUCUGCCACAAGAAGCUCUCCACCGCCGGCGGCAUGGCCAUCCACGUCCUCCAGGUCCACAAGGAGUCCGUCACCAAGGUCCCGAAUGCCAAGCCCGAGAGGGAUUCCACCGAGAUCGAGAUCUUCGGCAUGCAGGGGAUCCCCUCCGACGUGCUCGCCGCCCACUAUGGGGAAGAGGAAGAUCCUUCGUCGAAGGUGGCCAAAGUAGAAGUGCCGACAAUAAGACCUCCUAUUAUGCCUAAUUAUCCGCUAGGCAUGCCUUUUCCUCCUCGGCCUUAUGGUGCAGCCCGCCCUAUGUAUAAUCCUGCAAUGAUGGUCCGACCUCCGAUUUGGCCUCUUCAGCAGCCGCAACCUUGGUUUGCUCAACAACCACCGGUUUCAGUUCCCCCAAUGAUGGCUGGGCAAGCACCACAGCAACCACUAUUCCCCAUUCAAAACAUGCCCAAUCCUAUGAUGACAUCAGCACCUGCUAAUUUACUUCAGACAUCAUACGCUAUGCCCACCACAGGGGUUCCUUCACCUGUUGCCCCUCAGGCUUCCCAGCCUUUGUUUCCCGUUAACACCACUGGCAAUGGAGCAGCAAAUUCGUCAUUCAGCUCGUCAAUUUCACCUGCAACUAUUGCAGCAAAUUCUCCAGCAUCAGUUGGUACUGCAGGAUAUGGCUAUGUAGCUAAUAACCCUGGUACAGGAGGGCCAGCAAUUGGACAGCCACCUGCAGCUGCCACUAAUAGUAAAACGUCUGCUACUCAACCAGCUACGAGUGAGGUCUAUCUGGUGUGGGAUGAUGAAGCAAUGUCAAUGGAGGAAAGAAGGUUGGCGCUGCCCAUGUACCAGGUGCAUGACGAAACUAGCCAGGUAAGUUCUGGCUUUUUAUGUUUCCAUUACCAGUUAUCUCUCAAAAAUCAUUGGAGUGUGGCACCCGUAGAGCAAGUUAUACGAGCUUUGAAAGAGAGAAAUACAUGUUGAGUUUACAUGGAAAUAUGAGAUGUAUUCCUUCAGUAGUUGGCUUGUUACAUACUUCCAAGUAUUUGGAAACGGAUGGUGUAUGUGAGAUAGUUCCUUAUUAUACUACCCUUUUACAUAUUCAUGACAUCUACUUGGUGUUUAUUUGUUUGAUCAUCUAUAUCCUGCUGAUUUCGCGCACAUCAGGAGUUCCAAGUAGGUAUUUACAUACAUUGUUCUUCCUGCUAGUAAGUUUUUUUACAAUCUGACAAAUCUCAUGGUGCUAAUGACUUGAGGGUUAUCGGCCAAGCCCUGGACAGUACGCAAACGUGUAUGUAUUAAUUUCAGUUUAAGCAUUAUACUUAUAUUUUUUUUACGAUUCACCACGUGCGGCUGAGCUUCUGCCAGUACUGUAGCAUUUAUAACUUAAUUUUGAUCGAGAAUGUGGUGAGAGUUUGGUUCCAGGUCAGCUUUCAUAUGGCCUGUGAGCCAUCAACUUUUGUUCAUAAAGAGGAAAUUCUCAUGCUCUGUUAUUUGUUCCCAAGUUGCAGAGGUCAAAUCUAAUACCACCUUUCUUUGUUUUGAAACUUUUGUGGACAGAUGAGCUCGGUUGAUGCAGCGUUCGAUCGAAGAAUAUCAGAUAUUACAUUUUCUAGACAAUUGACAUAAACAAGCUGCGCCUGGUGUUCAGUAAACAGCUUGAUGCGAUUCGCCAACUGGCUCACCCGUGCAUCCAUAGGAGGGACGCCGUGCAAUCGGUGAUCCUGGAACCCCCCUGUUGUUGAUCUACUUAGUUAGUGACUGGAGGUACCGCAGUGGAAAGAUUGUGUUGGUCUGACUUGGAGAUUUUGAUUCAACAUCGUUUGUCCUGUCUUUUCGUACCGAGAGUGGAAACCUGUUAGACCUAGAAGUCAUUUGUUCCGUUGUCGAUUGACUGACGAUAUGAGUAUCUUCAGCUCUGUAAACCUGAGGAUGAAAUUAGCAGUGUCUUUUCACUA